rnacentral:rRNA from 1 species
UACGUAGGGUGCGAGCGUUGUCCGGAAUUAUUGGGCGUAAAGGGCUCGUAGGCGGUUUGUCGCGUCGGGAGUGAAAACCUCGGGCUUAACUCGGGGCUUGCUUUCGAUACGGGCAGACUGGAGGUAUGCAGGGGAGAACGGAAUUCCUGGUGUAGCGGUGAAAUGCGCAGAUAUCAGGAGGAACACCGGUGGCGAAGGCGGUUCUCUGGGCAUGACCUGACGCUGAGGAGUGAAAGUGUGGGGAGCGAACAGG